ACGGGAGGCAGCAGUGGGGAAUAUUGGACAAUGGGCGCAAGCCUGAUCCAGCAAUGCCGCGUGAGUGAUGAAGGCCUUA
rnacentral:rRNA from 1 species